GACGAACGCUGGCGGCGUGCUUCAUACAUGCAAGUCGAACGAGAAGCUGACUUCGGUCAGUGGAAAGUGGCGGACGGGUGCGUAAUAUGUAGGAAAUCUGCCUUUAGGAGGGGGACAACAGAGGGAAACUUCUGCUAAUACCCCAUAUGAGCGUAGCUGAAAUGCUAUUCUUGAAAACUCCGGUGCCUAAAGAUGAGCCUGCAUCUGAUUAGCUAGUUGGUAGUGUAAUGGACUACCAAGGCGACGAUCAGUAGCUGGUUUGAGAGGAUGAUCAGCCACAAUGGGACUGAGACACGGCCCAUACUCCUACGGGAGGCAGCAGUAGGGAAUUUUGCGCAAGGGGCGAAAGCCUGACGCAGCAACGCCGCGUGAACGAUUAAGCCCUUCGGGGUGUAAAGUUCUGUCAGUGGGGACGAAACUUGACGGUACCCACAGAGGAAGCACCGGCUAACUCCGUG
rnacentral:rRNA from 1 species